rnacentral:rRNA from 1 species
AUGACCUCAGCUCAGGCAAGACUACCUGCUGAACUUAAGCAUAUCAGUAAGCAGAGGAAAAGAAAACAACUGUGAUUCCCUUAGUAACUGCGAGUGAAGCGGGAAAAGCCCAUCGUUUAAUCUUCCCGGACUAUGGACGGGACGAAAUGUAACGGUAUGGAUAGGUUCUCUACCAACAAUGUCUGGUCAAAGUCCUCCGGAUUGAGGUGCCAGAGAGGGUGACAGCCCCGUGUGUGGCUGGACAGAGUUGGGUAUGUGGCCGAUUCCGAGAGUCGGGUUGUUUGGGACUGCAACCUAAAGCAGGUGGUAAACUCCACCCAAGGCUAAAUAUUGACACGAAACCGAUAGCGAACAAGUACUGUGAAGGAAAGUUGAAAAGAACUCUGAAAAGAGAGUUAAAAGUACGUGAAACCGCUAACGGGGAAGCGGAAGGCAGUGUCGAGAUUGAGUAAGUGAGUCGUUUCAAGUGUGUUUGGUGUGUCGUGUUGGCGGUGUGUAAUGUAUACUUGGAGCGGCUAGCUUUGCUUGAUGCGUCAGGACUAUUGGUAUGCGAUGGUUCAAUCGUUAGCAUGGCUUCUACGACACCUGACUUGUUCAGGCUCGUGGUUGCGGCUGGCGAUCCGCCUCGUGUGCUGAUAUGUAUGUGAUGGAGCGUUGGUGAUGUAUUGUCGGUUGGUGCGGCGUGGUGCUUCGUGCUGGUCACAUUGUGGCUACGUGCGGAGAAGUCACGUUGUAGUUCAACAACCAGUGCUAGCUUCUGACGUGAUACCUAACUUUCCGACCCGUCUUGAAACACGGACCAAGGAGGCAGAAUCUGCAGCGAGUUGGAGGGUGUAAAACCCGACGGCGCAGUGAAAGCGAGAGAUGAGAUCUGGGGGUUUCGGCCCUUGGCGCAUCAUCGGCCAGUCAUUCUGUGAUUGAGUUUGAGCUGUAGAUGCUGGACCCGAAAGAUGGUGAACUAUGCGUGAGCAGGGCGAAGCCAGAGGAAACUCUGGUGGAGGCUCGAAGCGAUUCUGACGUGCAAAUCGAUCGUUUGACUUGCGUAUAGGGGCGAUAGACUAAUCGAACCAUCUAGUAGCUGGUUCCCUUCGAAAUAUCCCUCAGGAUCGCUGAGACAAGUGGGAGACAGUUUCAUCGGGUAGAGCGAAUGAUUAGAGGAAUCGGGGAUAUAUUACUCUCGACCUAUUCUCAAACUUCCAACCGGUGAGAGUGCCGUUUACUUGAUUGAAAUGGUACGUGGAAUGUCUUUGUCUCAAGUGGGCCAUUUUUGGUAAGCAGAACUGGCGAUGCGGGAUGAACCGAGAGUUGAGCUAAGGUGCCUAAGGACACGUUGAUAGAUACCACAAAAGGAGUCGGUCGAUAAAGACAGCAGGGCGGUGGCCCUGAAAGUAGGAAUCCGCUAAGGAAUUGUCUAAAAACUCACCUGCCGAAUCGACCGGCCCUGAAAAUGGAUGGCGCUGAAGCGUGUCACCGAUGCUUGACCUCUACCACGAGAGAUGUUGGUAGAGGGUAGAAGGGCGCGGCGGUAGCGACAAAGUACAAAGUGUAAACUUGUAUGGAGCUGCCGUCGGUGUAGAUCUUGGUGGUAGUAGCAAUUAUAAAAGUGAAAACCUUUUAGGCCGAAGUGGAGAAGGGUUCCACGUGAACAGCAGUUGGACGUGGGUUAGUCGGUCCUAAGCGGUUGCCUAACGGCUAUUCCAAAGCCAACUUAUAGCUUCUUUCGGGGGGCGUUUGUAGGUUGGACUCCGCGAAAGGGAAUCAGGUUAAUAUUCCUGAACCGGGCUAUGGAGACGCUGCCUUUGGCGCCUUUUCGAUCAAAAGUCGGGAGGGUUGCUGGGGUAGCUUAGCGGUAACGCAAACAAUCUCGGAGACGUUGACAUCUAUGGCGGGGAGAAUUAUCUUUUCUGCAUAACAGGUGAACUACCUUGGAAUCGAGUCGUUCGGAGAUAAGGUAAAAAGCCUGGAAGAGCACCGCAACUAUUGCAGUGUCCGCAUUGUAGGUGUCGGCCCUUGAAAAUCCGAG